AUGGAGUUUUGCUCUUGUUGCCCAGGCUGGAGUGCAAUGGCAGCUAUCUCAGCUCACUGUAACCUCUGCCUCGCGGGUUCAAGCGAUUCUCCUGCCUCAGCCUCCUGAGUAGCUGGGAUUACAGGCAUGCCCCACCAUGCCUGGCUAAUUUUGUAUUUUUAGUAGAGACAGGGUUUCUCCAUGCUGGUCAGGCUGGCCUCGAACGCCCGGCCUCAGGUGAUCUGCCUGCCUCGGCCUCCCAAAGUGCUGGGAUUAUAGUGUGAGCCACCAUGCCCGGCCUGUAGCAAACAUUUAAAACUGAUCUCUGUGUAUUUAGUCUUGCUCUACUUCAGGACAUUCUCAAUACUGCAGCAAAAGUUAUUCUAAAAUGCAAAUCUCAUUUUGGCAGGGAUGCUGCUAAAUAUCCUACAGUGCACAGAACGGCCACCAACGACCAAGAAUUAUCCAGUCCAAAAUGUCAGUAAAGCUGAGGUUAAGAAAUCCUGUUCCAGAAUAUCACAUUUUUUGAAAUGCUACCAGCUGAGGAAGAAGCCAAAAUGUGGAGAAGGACAGAAUCAAGAGAAUUGCAAAGAAGCUGAGUUGGAAUCCUGACAAACCACGCUGGAGUGGCCCUACCUCCGUUGUUUCAGGCAUUUUGAGUCAGGGCUUUCUGGUACUUACAGUCAAAGGCAUCUAAAUGACAGUCUCCAAAAUUCACCAUAGCA
rnacentral:lncRNA from 1 species